AGUGAACGCUGGCGGUAGGCCUAACACAUGCAAGUCGAACGGCAGCACAGUAAGAGCUUGCUCUUACGGGUGGCGAGUGGCGGACGGGUGAGGAAUACAUCGGAAUCUACUUUUUCGUGGGGGAUAACGUAGGGAAACUUACGCUAACACCGCAUACGACCUACGGGUGAAAGCAGGGGAUCUUCGGACCUUGCGCGAUUGAAUGAGCCGAUGUCGGAUUAGCUAGUUGGCGGGGUAAAGGCCCACCAAGGCGACGAUCCGUAGCUGGUCUGAGAGGAUGAUGCGCCACACUGGCACUGAGACACGGCCCAGACUCCUACGGGAGGCAGCAGUGGGGAAUAUUGGACGAUGGGCGCAAGCCUGAUCCAGCCAUACCGCGUGGGUGAAGAAGGCCUUCGGGUUGUAAAGCCCUUUUGUUGGGAAAGAAAAGCAGCAGGUUAAUACCCCGCUGUUCUGACGGUACCCGAAGAAUAAGCACCGGCUAACUUCGUG
rnacentral:rRNA from 1 species